GAUGAACGCUGGCGGCGUGCCUAACACAUGCAAGUCGAGCGAACGGACGAGAAGCUUGCUUCUCUGAUGUUAGCGGCGGACGGGUGAGUAACACGUGGAUAACCUACCUAUAAGACUGGGAUAACUUCGGGAAACCGGAGCUAAUACCGGAUAAUAUUUUGAACCGCAUGGUUCAAAAGUGAAAGACGGUCUUGCUGUCACUUAUAGAUGGAUCCGCGCUGCAUUAGCUAGUUGGUAAGGUAACGGCUUACCAAGGCAACGAUGCAUAGCCGACCUGAGAGGAUGAUCGGCCACACUGGAACUGAGACACGGUCCAGACUCCUACGGGAGGCAGCAGUAGGGAAUCUUCCGCAAUGGGCGAAAGCCUGACGGAGCAACGCCGCGUGAGUGAUGAAGGUCUUCGGGUCGUAAAACUCUGUUAUUAGGGAAGAACAUAUGUGUAAGUAACUGUGCACAUCUUGACGGUACCUAAUCAGAAAGCCACGGCUAACUACGUG
rnacentral:rRNA from 1 species